rnacentral:rRNA from 1 species
GAUGAACGCUGGCGGCGUGCUUAACACAUGCAAGUCGAACGGAAAGGCUCCUGCUUGCAGGGGUACUCGAGUGGCGAACGGGUGAGUAACACGUGGGUGAUCUGCCCUGCACUUCGGGAUAAGCCUGGGAAACUGGGUCUAAUACCGGAUAGGACGAUGGUUUGGAUGCCAUUGUGGAAAGUUUUUUCGGUGUGGGAUGAGCUCGCGGCCUAUCAGCUUGUUGGUGGGGUAAUGGCCUACCAAGGCGUCGACGGGUAGCCGGCCUGAGAGGGUGUACGGCCACAUUGGGACUGAGAUACGGCCCAGACUCCUACGGGAGGCAGCAGUAGGGAAUAUUGCACAAUGGGCGCAAGCCUGAUGCAGCGACGCCGCGUGGGGGAUGACGGCCUUCGGGUUGUAAACUCCUUUCGCUAGGGACGAAGCGCAAGUGACGGUACCUGGAGAAGAAGCACCGGCUAACUACGUG